GCCUGGGUCGCUCAGUCGGUUGAGCAUCCAACUUCGGCUCAGGUCGUGAUCUCAUGGUUCGUGGGUUCGAGCCCCACGUCAGGCU
rnacentral:tRNA from 1 species